UACAGAGGGGGCAAGCGUUGUUCGGAAUUACUGGGCGUAAAGGGCGCGUAGGCGGCCUUCUAAGUCGAACGUGAAAUCCCCGGGCUCAACCCGGGAACUGCGUCCGAUACUGGAAGGCUUGAAUCCGGGAGAGGGAUGCGGAAUUCCAGGUGUAGCGGUGAAAUGCGUAGAUAUCUGGAGGAACACCGGUGGCGAAGGCGGCUUGCUGGGCCAGUUCUGACGCUGAGGAGCGAAAGCGUGGGGAGCGAACAGG
rnacentral:rRNA from 1 species